ACUCCACUCUGACGGAGGUGUUCAGGAGCAGUCCAGAGAUCUGGGGGGAAAGACGGAAGGGAGGCAUUGGAAGGAGGAAGAAGAAAAGGGCAAAUAAUAUUAGUUGACAGCUGUUACCUUUAUUCAAAGAUUCAUCUGAUCCCAUAUUGGUCCGAUCUGGAGUCUUUCCAGAUGGAGGCUCCUCGUGUUACCAAUGAGAAGGAAUUGUGCAAUCAUUCUUUUUCUCUAAAAAAUCCUCUCUUAUUUUUUCAUUGUUUCUUUAGUCUUUUUUUCUAGUAAGGAAAAGACUGAAGAAACAAUGGAAAAAUAAAAAAGGAUUUUCAUGUGGCUGAAGCCUCAUAAAAUUGAGUGAACAAGGCAGUCAUAAAGUGUUACUUUUUCAGUGCUGCUUCAUGGUUUAUUUCAGACCUUUCUUUGCCUAAUUACUAGUAAAAUGAUUUGUUACACUGGACUGAGUGGAAAGAACAUGAGGAAAAAAUAUCUGUAAUAAAAUGUAAUUAGUAUUUAUAUUGCAAUAUUUCUGAUUUUGUUUUUUAAAAAUUUCUUAGACUUAUUGUUAUGGUUGAGCCUUCGGGCUCCGGUAAUAGAAGAAGGGGUCAUAAGACUCCUCGAGAGUCAGACUCUUUCGAGGAGCGUGAAAGAAAACGGCUCCGGGAUUUGUUUACAGACCCGACAGAUGAGGACUCAUUUGAGGGUUUUUCUGAGGGUUUGGAGGAAGAGAUGGCCAGCUCGGAGGAGGACGACAUGGAAUGGACUCGUGUGAGGGAGGAUUUGGGUGUUGGGGAAACAGGCAAUGAAAGCAUGGGAGGUGAUUGGCGGGUUGCAGGAUCAGACCCAUGGACUGGCUGGAGGGAUGGAGCGGGAUCCACAGCUGGGGAUGCUGUGGGGCGUAGUCAAAGGUGCUUAAGCUCUGAUGAGGAUGAUGAUGUUGGGGCAUCUGGAAUUGGGAUGGCAGCUGACAGCGAUGAUGAGCUUGAACUGGGAUAAAUUGGGGUUUGGGACCAAUGUCUAAUUGCGUUGGGCAAGGUAAUCUGGACGGACACUUGGGCUUUUGUUGGGGAACUUCCUGAAGAUGGGUGUGAUUCGUUACUGGAUACGUAAGUUUACCAAGGACACUGGGCAUCGACGGCGGGAGGAACUGUGCGGGGUUUUUCUCUGUGCAACUUGUGUUUAAUCUCGAUAGCUUGGACCUCCGUCGUCUUUUUGACGGGCAAUAACUACUCGCACUGGAUUGACGCUGGACUGACUGACUUCGAUUCCGGAUUAUCCCUUCUGCUGGCUAUCGGUGAGACCUUUGGAUUUCUAGACGACUACGCUUGGCUAUUGACCUCUGGACUGGAUUGGGACCCUGCUGACUGCCGUUACCCUGACUGCUGUGCCUGGACCUGGAUAUCGUUGGCCGCUGAACCUUAAACUGAAUCCUGACUACGACCACGCUUUUCGUUCGCUGCAGGAAGGAAUAAACAAGCCUGGUUUAUUCUCCUGCUGUUUCCGAGUAGCAGAGAGGAAUCUGCUACCAGUCUGUUGUUUACAUUCUGACUCCUGUUGAUCCUCUUUUGUUUGCAUUGUUUGCCAGGCUGAAGUAAGCACUUUUGAUUUAAUCCGGAUUAUACUUCUGUUUAACCCGGUUUAUCCCUUUGAACCGUUUAAGCUCAAACUGAGCUGUUUUUUUGUUACUUAUCACACUGAAGUCAAGUGUUUGCCCUGUUCUUUGUUUCCUAUGGGCGUUUUUAGUUCUGUAACCUCAAUAAACUGAGUUUUGUUUUACUCGCUGGCGUUCUGUCUGUGACACUUAUAGUGCUAUAGUGGAAAAGUGCCAUCGCACUCAUGCAUUCUAACUAAAAAAUUGAAAGAGAGAAAAAAGAAAAGAGAAAGAUUUUUUCCUGUUAUAUCUCACAAUUUAAAAGAAACCCAACUGGAGGUAGGAAUAAAUCUUGCAACUGGUACAGGGAAUUAUAGUAAAAGACUCAUUUGUAUUUCUUGUGUACCUUUUUUUGGUGGCAGAAUAGAAUUGCAGCCAAAAUCAGUGAUCUUCACUACCAUGCGGCUAUCGACAACACAGUUUGUAGAUUUCAGGCGCCCAUGAACCUCGGUUUUGCUUGAAUGCAGGCUUAGUCAGCAGGAAGAUAGAAACAAAUUGUGUUCCAUACUGCUAUGAUCAACCAACUUGAACAAGGUCCAAAAGAAGAUUACUGGUGCUUUUGUUCUCAACAGCCAGUCAUACCAAAGUGAGGCAGCAACCUCAAGCAGCAAAUUUAAGAAAAUGUGAAGGAGAUGGAAAGAACAUGAACAUUAUGGAAAAAGAAGGCCAGUCUCAUUCAUUCAUUAAUAUUCCACUUUUCCCUAAAAGCAGCAUCUCAGAACACCAAUUUGAAACACCAUAUUAAUGAAAGCAUUGAAACAUUUCAAGUCCAGCAACCCCAUUUGGGCCCAUUUUAGUUGUUGAAGACCUACCUGAAUAAAAAGGUCAUAACCUAACAGGAAAAGCAUCAUUUGUUUUGAAAGCUUUUGACCUAUGUUUUGUAUUGGCAAUUAUCAAUGCUCUCAAUCUACCUUUGCACCCAAGGGCCAAUCUUAUUCUCCCCCUCCCACCCCCAAUAAUUUCCCGACAACAAAGUGAUCCUUGUCAAAACACUCUGACAAGGAUCUUAGUAGGAAGUCAGGACAUUGGGUCACCAAUAAAUAAAUCAGUUAGCAAGCAAAUGUAUUUGGCAAGCUGCAAUACGCUUUUCUGCCCAGUACCUUAGGCUGAGUGACAGAAGGCUAAAUAGCUUCAAGCACACUUUAAAUAAAAAUACAAGUUCAUGGUCUAGAAUUCAGAGAUGCAGUGGAAAUAUUAAUUCCUGAGAUUAUGCUGCCCCCUAAUGGCUCAAAAUUUUAUACUACAAAAAAGACUACAUGGGCCAACCAAAAAAAUGUCUUGAUGUCUCAGUUUUUAGGCCUUUUCUUGGAGAUAUUUGGGGCAAUGAUUUAGAGAAUUGUAUUGGAUGGAUUGCAUCAGCUUUAGUUUCCUGUCAUGGUUUUCUAUAAGUUAACAGAUGGCUACUGGAGGAUGGCAUAUGUUCUGUAUCUCAAAAACUAGAGCUAAUAGGGGGAAACUGGUGCAAGUUUUGGAACGAACUGGUCAAAUAAAGCUACAAAGCUAACAUUUGAGGUACAAAAAUGUGCUAUCAUUCCCACCCAAAACCUCUUUAUUUACUGUUAUUGUGCAAAAAGUAAUAGUAGUCUUUAUAAUGACAUUACAUUUCUGAAUUUCAGAUUAAAUCAACAAAAAUAAACUGAGAAACAGAAGCAGUCUAAUCUUUACAAUGCAGUUCAGAUUUUCUUUGUUAGUGUUUUCUUUAAUGUUCUGUUUACAGUUCAUUUUAAUUGAAAGCCUAGUCCAAGAAGAAAUGCAACCAAAAAUUGAACAACCUUCUAGAUAAGAUAUUUUAUUAUGCAGUGUAAUUUGUAUAUAGAUAGAAAUCUGUCUAGAUAAAUUAAGGAGUCACACUUUUGUAAUUCAUUUAAAAGGGAGUUGAGUAAUCAUAUCACCAGACUAAAAUUACCACAUUGAAGGUCUGAUGCUUUGCAUACCAGCUAUUGGCUCCAGGACAAAAGUAGAAGAUUUCUGCUGAUGCAGCUAUUAACAUUAGCAGCCUAGUAUCUCAACUGCCCAAUAGCACUGGAUGCUCAUUUUUUGGGAUUAGGUGAGUGGAAAGGUUCUGAUCUAGUUCCAGAAUGGAGUUAUGCAGAACAAGAAAAAGUAUAGAUUUAAUUCUCUCUUGCUGUAAUAUAUAGGGAAACGUGGGAAGAUUUUGGUCAAAUAAUGUGUGCCUUAUAAUACUUCCAGAUUUGUAGUGGGCAUUGGCUCCUUAUUCCAGGUUCCUCAUUCCACUUUCAUUCCAGUGAAAGACUUAUAGAAUCAUAGCAUUAGACAAACCACAAGCACCAUCCAAUCCAACCCCCUUCACUCAUUUGAUUAAGUUCCUCUCCCCAUAUAUGCUUACCAAAGAUCAAGGUUUUCAGGGACAGGAGCUUCUCUUUGUCUCACCACGGAGGUCCAUAUACUAUGUCAGGCCAUGGAAAAGGAUAUUCUCAUCCAUAGCAUCCCAAAUGUGGAAUGCCCUCCCUGGGAGGCCCAACAGGCACCAAAAUUGGCUUCAUUUAGGUGCCAAGCAAAAACAUGCCUCAAGCAUCAGUGGUUUGUUUACAAUGUUACAUGUAGGAUUGGUAGGCCAGUUUUAAUUUUUGAAUGUGUUUCAGUGUCUUUAAUUUUUUAUUGUUUUAAAUAGUUAUAACCUAUUAGUAUUUAUUUUACUUGUAUGAUACCCUGAGAACUUCUUCUAUAGAACAUGAAAUAAAUAUUUUAAUUAAUGAAUAAAUAAUGGAACAGUGUAAAAUAAAUUUUCCUCUGAUAUUAAAAAUGUACUCUCUUAGAUUCUUUUAGCAAAACUAUUUCAGAGUAGGGAGGUGAAUGUGUGUUACUUGCCACAGGUACUAUAACUGACCAAAGAAUUGCCAUACGAUCAAGGAUAAUAUUUGGAGAGAUCUGACCUUCCCAAAACAUCUCUCAAGUACAACUGUUGUUGCUCCAUAUAGGCAACCAAAGAGUGUUUCCAUAGCAACUCAUUUCCUAAGCACUCUAUGGUUCCUGCUCAGUCUGGGAGAAUAAAAAAGGGAUUGGUGAAAGUGGGGAAAUUAUUACAUUGUGCAAAGAAGAUAAGGCAUCUGCACAAGAGUUUUUGAUAACAGGUGAUGAAGGGUAUUAGGAGUAUUCUAAAUCAAGGAAAUUCAAGAUCAGCGUAUUUAGUUAGGUGCUGUACUGUUUGAGCCCUUCUGAUUUGCCCUACAGUGUGCCUCAAACAAAAUUCCUCCCCCAGGAAAGUUCAUUGAACUGUAUAAAAUGCCAAACCAUUUUGGAAUUGGGCUAGACAUUCAAAGAAAAAAAUGCAGGUUUGUUUCAGAUUAGCCACUAGAUUAGCCACUAGAUCAAAUCUUCA